rnacentral:tRNA from 1 species
GGUGGCUCAGUGGUAGAAUGCUUGCCUUGCAAGCAUGAGGCCCUGGGUUCGAUUCCCUAGCACCA